AGUUUUGACCACACUAGCUGAUUUCCUUCUGUUGUCCUUGAAUCCAUCCUCUGAAUUUCACUCGGUUCAGUAAUUCCUGCUACUUAAUUUUCUGCAGGUAGACCUGAAGGUUAGGAUCCCUUCCGGUGGCCACCAAGUCAGAGCAAGCUGAAGCUAACUGGGUGGUGCUAGACAGGAGGGUGCUUGCUCCAAGAUAAAGGACCUUGUACUGAUGCCGGGACUAUUUGUGCUUCUAAGGUGAGAUAUCCAUGCUAC